CCUACGGGGCGCAGCAGUGGGGAAUAUUGCACAAUGGGGGAAACCCUGAUGCAGCAACGCCGCGUGAAGGAAGACGGUUUUCGGAUUGUAAACUUCUGUUCUUAGUGAAGAAAAAUGACGGUAGCUAAGGAGCAAGCCACGGCUAACUACGUGCCAGCAGCCGCGGUAAUACGUAGGGGGCAAGCGUUAUCCGGAUUUACUGGGUGUAAAGGGAGCGUAGACGGCAGUGCAAGUCUGAAGUGAAAGGCAAGGGCUCAACCCUUGGACUGCUUUGGAAACUGUGCUGCUCGAGUGUCGGAGAGGCA
rnacentral:rRNA from 1 species